rnacentral:rRNA from 1 species
AUGUAUUUGGAUUUGAAGGAGCGUUUCUGGUGGACUGGUAUGAAGAAGGAUAUUGCCGAGUAUGUAGCCGUAUGUGAUGUAUGUCAGAGAGUGAAGGCAGAAGAUGAGAAACCAGCAGGAUUACUGCAGCCUAUCCCGAUACCCGAAUGGAAGUGGGACAAGCUUGGCAUGAAUUUUAUCACCGGAUUACCAAGGACCCGAUCGGGAUAUGAUUCUAUUUGGGUAGUAGUGGAUCGUCUGACCAAAGUAGCUCACUUUAUCCCAGUGAAAACCACUUAUACGAGUGCAAAGUUGGCCAAGAUAUAUAUGACCAGGAUCGUAUGUCUGCAUGGAGUUCCGAGGACCAUCGUAUCAGAUAGAGGAACCCAGUUUACUUCAAAGUUUUGGCACUAG